rnacentral:rRNA from 1 species
GACGAACGCUGGCGGCGUGCUUAACACAUGCAAGUCGAACGGAAAGGCCCUGCUUUUGUGGGGUGCUCGAGUGGCGAACGGGUGAGUAACACGUGAGUAACCUGCCCUUGACUUUGGGAUAACUUCAGGAAACUGGGGCUAAUACCGGAUAGGAGCUCCUGCUGCAUGGUGGGGGUUGGAAAGUUUCGGCGGUUGGGGAUGGACUCGCGGCUUAUCAGCUUGUUGGUGGGGUAGUGGAUUACCAAGGCUUUGACGGGUAGCCGGGCUGAGAGGGUGACCGGCCACAUUGGGACUGGGAUACGGCCCAGACUACUACGGGAGGCAGCAGUGGGGAAUAUUGCACAAUGGGAGGGAGCCUGAUGCAGCAAAGCCGCGUGGGGGAUGACGGGCUUCGGGUUGUAAACCGCUUUCGCCUGUGACGAAGCGUGAGUGACGGUAAUGGGUAAAGAAGCACCGGCUAACUACGUG